rnacentral:rRNA from 1 species
GACAGAGGGGGCAAGCGUUGCUCGGAAUCACUGGGCGUAAAGGGCGCGUAGGCGGGAUGGCAAGUCGGUCGUGAAAUCUCUCGGCUCAACCGAGAAACGUCGGCCGAUACUGCCGUUCUUGAGGGAUGCAGAGGAGACUGGAAUUCCCGGUGUAGCGGUGAAAUGUGUAGAGAUCGGGAGGAACACCGGUGGCGAAGGCGGGUCUCUGGGCAUCUCCUGACGCUGAGGCGCGAAAGCGUGGGGAGCAAACAGG